CAUUUCAUAGCUGUUCUGCUUUAAGCCUUCUGACAACUGCUAUAAAGAUAUUCCCUGGAAACCCUGUGUUUCUGCUGGUCCAGGAGCACACUGCUGCACAUUAAACAAUAAUAACUGGGAACACCCAGAGCUCUUGGGAGCCUCCAGAGAGAAGACAGUGUCCUCUGAAGCCUGUGCUGCUGAGCAUGGUCACACAGAUCUGCAGCAGGUGUUCACCUCAGUCCUUCCUACCUCAAACUGGUCUAGCAGAACGAAUAUGGUUUUAAGAUCCUUGUAUGCCUUUAGGAAGAUUGACUCACAUGAGAAUCACCUUCUCUAACUGUAUCCAGAACAGAAGUUGUGCCACAGUGCCACAGUAUGACCCUGGCUGUUCAUCAUGCACCCACCAAAGCAUUUUUACUCCUCUCCUCAGCUGGACAGUGGAGAGAAAAGACAAAAGGAUCAUGGGUCCAGAUAAGGACAGGGAGAAAUCACACACCAGUUACUAUCUCAGGAAAAAUAGAUUUGGUUUAGGGAAAUUAGUUUCAUUCAUCACAAAUCAAAUCAGUGUAAUAAGCAGAAAUUAAACCAAAUCUUAAAACACCUUUCACCCACCCCUCCCUCCUUUCUAGGCUCAACUUCAGUCCUGAUUUGCUCAGCCUCAGUGGUAGAGGGAGAUGGGAAAUGCAGGUUGUGGUCAGUUCAUCACAUGCUGUCUUUGCUGCUUCUUCUUCCACAGGGAUUGGAUUCCCCACAUGCUCCCCUGCUCCUGGGUGGACUGCCUCCCACAGGAGGCAGUCCUGCGUGAACUUCUCCACCCUGGUCCUGCCCAUGGGUUGCAGCUCUUCACAAGCCCUCCCUGUGUGGUCACACCUUUUGGAACAGGCUGCUCCAGCUUUUUCCCCAUGGGAUGACAAAUCCCACCUGCAAACCUGCUCCAGUCUGGGCCCCUCUCUCCAGGGGCCACAGGUCCUCUCAGGAGCCAGGCUGAAAAAAUGAGGGGUUGUUUUUUCUGCAGGAAGCUAACUGAUGGUCUUUCUCUCAUUUUAAGAUGAGAAGUGUAAGGACCAAAUAAUUUUUAGUUGCAGUAAAACAAGUACUGUCAAAUCCAUCUCAAAUCCAGUAAUAAGUUCAAAAGAUACUUCAUGGGAAAGGAGGGUGGGAAGAGAUGGAAGGAGAAGAGAGGCAAAGAGACAUAUAUGUGCACUGGGGGGAGUUUAGAUUGGAUAUUAGGAAAGAUUCUUUAUUGAAAAUGUUGUCAAACAUUGGAGCAUGCUUCCCAGGGCAGUGGUGGGGUCACCAUUCCUGUAGGGAUUUAAAAGACAUGCAGAUAUGGCACUUGGGGACAUGUAUUAGUGGUGGUCUUGGCAAUGCUGGUUGGACUGGAUGAUCCUAAAAGCCUUUAUCAACCUUAAUGAUUCUAUGAUAAGGAGAGCUGGAAAAUGAGAUAUUUAUUAAGGAACAUUUCUGUACAACUGGUAAGUUACAUCAGAAAGAGCCAGGGAUAGGAGAAUCACCAGAAGAAGCAAGAAGAGGGUGCAUGAGUUCACAGCCCCCUGGCAAGCCCUUUUUCCCCUAGGCAUGCCAUGCCUCCAAGGAAGGUGUGGGAGCAGUCUGAGGGACACAUCUCUGCUCUUCACAUCCACUCACACUUAAGCUGCCACAGAAUAACCUUGUGCUCCCUGCUGUGCCACUGUGCAAGAGCUGGCAGGGGAAGGGGCUCGGGGAUAAUGAAUGAAGCUCUAUAUUAGCCACAAAAGCACAGGACAGUCAAAUGAAAGGGUAAAAGUAUGGUCAUGAAAGACAAGCAGUCACUCCGACUGUGUGCUGGAGGUAAUUACUGCUAUAUAAAUAAACCAGAGGAAAAAAAAAUCUUUUAAAAAUCUAAUUACCAUGCAGCACUGUGGGUUUCAACCUUGGUCAAGUACAGGCAGACCUGAUUUACGCUCCAUCAUAAAAUCCUAAGCACGAGGCUGGUCUCCCUCUCUCUUUACAAUAUGAGUCAGGGAAUAAGCACAGGACACUUCUCAGAGAGGAGCUGCCUGAUAGAUAGAUGUGCCCAUGUCUGGGUGGUUCAGCAUCUCCAACAAGCCCAGGACAACACAAGUACACCACCUGCAUGUCUAUUUAUCACAGUUUUCUGUCUGCAAGAGCAACAUCUCUUUUAAACAAAAAACAAAACAAAACAAAACAAAAAAAAAAAAAAAAAAAAAAA
rnacentral:lncRNA from 1 species